ACUUAAAUAAUUUAAUGAAGAAUAUUAAUUUGUGGUAUUAAUAGUGUCUGAUAGACUUUAAGUA
rnacentral:tRNA from 1 species